rnacentral:miRNA from 1 species
UGGAUUUCUCAUGAUCCUUAAU